GACGAACGCUGGCGGCGUGCCUAAUACAUGCAAGUUGAGCGCUGAAGGUUGGUACUUGUACCAACUGGAUGAGCAGCGAACGGGUGAGUAACGCGUGGGGAAUCUGCCUUUGAGCGGGGGACAACAUUUGGAAACGAAUGCUAAUACCGCAUAAAAACUUUAAACACAAGUUUUAAGUUUGAAAGAUGCAAUUGCAUCACUCAAAGAUGAUCCCGCGUUGUAUUAGCUAGUUGGUGAGGUAAAGGCUCACCAAGGCGAUGAUACAUAGCCGAGCUGAGAGGGUGGUCGGGCACAAUGGGACUGAGACACGGCCCAAACCCCUACCGGAGGCAGCCGGAGGGAAUCUUCGGACAUGGACGAAAGUCUGACCGCGCAACGCCGCGUGAGGGAAGAAGGUUCUCGGAUCGUAAAACUCUGUUGGUAGAGAAGAACGUUGGUUAGAGUGGAAAGCUCAUCAAGUGACGGUAACUACCCAGAAAGGGACGGCUAACUACGUG
rnacentral:rRNA from 1 species